AAUAAGUGCAGUUUUGCACUAUUCACGUUCAACGUUUGACCGUCCGUCUUAUUUGAAAAUUUUUUAUGAUUAGUAUUUUUAUUGCUAUUAGAUAAUAAAAUAUGAAUAGUACUUUAUGUGUGACUAAAUAUUUUUAAUUUUUUCACAAAUUUUUCAAAUAAGACGGACGGUCAAUCGUUGAAUGUGAAUAGUGCAAAACUACACUUAUU
rnacentral:pre_miRNA from 1 species